UUCGGGCUGGCCUGCUGCUCCGG
rnacentral:miRNA from 1 species